rnacentral:rRNA from 1 species
UACGUAGGGUCCGAGCGUUGUCCGGAAUUAUUGGGCGUAAAGAGCUCGUAGGCGGUUCGUCGCGUCGGCUGUGAAAACCCGGAGCUCAACUCCGGGCCUGCAGUCGAUACGGGCGGACUUGAGUGUUGCAGGGGAGACUGGAAUUCCUGGUGUAGCGGUGAAAUGCGCAGAUAUCAGGAGGAACACCGGUGGCGAAGGCGGGUCUCUGGGCAACUACUGACGCUGAGGAGCGAAAGCGUGGGGAGCGAACAGG